AGGAAUGUAUAGCAAUAGCUACUUGUAUCAUUGUGCAUAUGAUGCAAGCUCGACUAUGUGGAAUAAAAUUCUAGGUAGAAUUUUGAUAAUGACAUUGUCUGCCUAUGUGUCUUGACCAAAUUACGUGCCAGCAGUCGCGGUAAUACGUAGAAGACUAGUGUUAUUCAUGUUUAAUCGGUUUAAAGGGUACCUAGACGGUGAACCAAGCUUUAAAUCAAAGAAGAAAAGGGACUAGUUCACUAGAGUUACUUACGAGGGGGUUUUAAAGUACUGCUGGUGUAGAGAUGAAAUUCUGUCAUACCUCUUUUCGAAAGAAAAAUAAUGGCACAGGUAUAGGCGAAGGCAUCCCCUUAUGUGAUAACUGACGUUGAGGGACGAAGGCUUUUUGGAACAAACAGGAUUAGAUACCCUAGUAGUUUAAGCAGAAAAUGAUGAAUGUCAUAGAUUAGAUGUCUAAGUUUAUUCUAUAAAUUAAAGUGUAAGCAUUCCACCUCAGGAGUAAUUUGGCAACAUUGGAAUUGAAAUCAUUAGACCGUUUCUGAUACCAGUAGUGAAGUAUGUUGUUUAAUUUGAUGAUCCGCAAAAAACCUUACCACAAUUUGAAUAUUUAUAUUAUUUAUUGUUAUCUCAUUAAUUUUUUCCCUUUUAUUGCUUGUUGCUAGCGAGGCAGGACAAAAACAUGAAAACAGAAUAAAAUUAAUCCAGAGGCAAUAACAUAUAUCUACAAGCGUUGCACGGCUGUCUUCAGUUAAUGUCGCGAGACUGUGGUUAGUUCCAUUAAAUUAACGUAAACCCUUACUUUAUUUUUUAUAUAGAGUAGUUCCCCGCUAUAUUGGAUAUGAU
rnacentral:rRNA from 3 species